GCAGAGCUGCAGACAAAGUGACACAAAUUGCUUCAUCCAGGAAGAAUGUGCUCGUUCACAGUGGUCCUGUGGUUUUUGAGGCUGACAGUAUGCAAACCUCCAGUCUGGAGCAGAAAGCCUCUCUUCCCACUGGAUACCUGGUGCUGGGAGCUGCAGCUGCCAUAUUGAUGCUGAUCCUGGUUUUAGCUAUAGUUGCUUUGAGAAGGUUGAACAAGCAGAAAGAAUCUGAAAUUUUAAAUAAAUGCUAUUCAUGAA